AAUGAACGCUGGCGGCAUGCCUAACACAUGCAAGUCGAACGAAGGCUUCGGCCUUAGUGGCGCACGGGUGCGUAACGCGUGGGAAUCUGCCCUUGGGUUCGGAAUAACAGUUAGAAAUGACUGCUAAUACCGGAUGAUGUCGUAAGACCAAAGAUUUAUCGCCCAAGGAUGAGCCCGCGUAGGAUUCGCUAGUUGGUGGGGUAAAGGCCUACCAAGGCGACGAUACUUAGCUGGUCUGAGAGGAUGCUCAGCCACACUGGGACUGAGACACGGCCCAGACUCCUACGGGAGGCAGCAGUGGGGAAUAUUGGACAAUGGGCGAAAGCCUGAUCCAGCAAUGCCGCGUGAGUGAUGAAGGCCUUAGGGUUGUAAAGCUCUUUUACCCGGGAUGAUAAUGACAGUACCGGGAGAAUAAGCUCCGGCUAACUUCGUG
rnacentral:rRNA from 1 species